GCCUGUUCGUCUCUUUCGCCCUCUCAUUUCCACCGCUCCCCUCUCUCUCUAGGGUUUCUCUCUCUCCUCUCCUCCCGGCGAUUUCUCCACCGCAUCUUCGGAUCACCUCGGAUCCAUCUAUCAGCGGCGGCGGAACUCCAGAUCGAAGACAUUGAAGCGAUGGAGCGCGCUCGGUGGCCAGCGUGAGACCGAGCGCGCACGGAUCCAAGGAGGUUUUCGGCGGAUUGGAGAGCGCAAGCCUAUCGCGCACGGAGUUGUUUCUGCGGAUUGGGGAGCGUGAGGCCCAGCGCACGGAGCAGUUUUCAGUGGCUAAUCGACCGUCAGACCGCUGCGGUGGAGGAAGAUCAGAGAGGAGGGGGUGUUUUGGGGGUUCACACAAAGGCUGGGGAGCAGGAUCUUCAAAUAUAGAGAAGCAAGUUUGUGGAAGUAGAGGAAUAAAACACAAUACGAAGAUGGAAGCAAUCAGUUCAUACAAUGCCUAGAGUACAAAGAGAGAGACCAGCACGUGCAGUAGCGAACAAUGCGGCCCCAAGACACAGGGCAACACCUUCCAGACUGGUUAAGUUAUACAAGCACCUGACUGUUGACCAGCGCAAGGCUAUAGAAGAUGUGAAAUUUGGUGGGUUACUGAAGAUUGCAUGCUCACAAAUACCUUCAGAUUUCGCAAAUUGGAUCAUGGUGCAAUGUUUCGAUCAUGAAACAUCGCAACUCAUUUUGCCUGGAAGGGGGAGGAUCUCAUUGACAGCAGGGGCUGUAGCUGAAAAAUUUGGUUUGCCAAACAGGGGUGAUCCAGUGAAGUAUGAACUUGAUGUUGAUGCCAUCAAUUUCAUUCAUGAGAAGUAUGGCAUUGUCCGGGGGACAGCACCCAAGAUUGAAACAAUUGUUCAAAGGGUCAAGGCAAACAAGGAGGCAGAUGAAGAUUUUCUGAGGUCAUGGCUGAUGCUUGCUGUAUCAACAUUUUUGUGCCAAUCGACUGGCUUGGGAAUCAACCCCAGAUGCUACCCAUCUAUAAUCGACCUAUCAAGCGUGAAGAAAUUGAACUGGGCACAGUUUGUUGUCGACCAAUUGAAGGAUGCCACUUCCAAAUUUGAUAAAAAGAAUUCUGUGAGGGGUUGCGUUCUCCUAAGCACUUUUUUGACCACUUCUCUAAGUACCCCUAUAUUUUUUUUU